GUUAUCCUGCCGAAAUGGGGGGUGUCCCGCGGUGGGAUGAUGUCCCUGCUGGGGACGGGGAUGUCUUUCCUGCCGGGGUCCCGCCGGCGGGAGCGGCGGCUCCGGCACCGACCCCUGGAGCGCAGCAGCGCCGCCGCCCCCCCGUCACCUCCCGCGACCCCGCCGUGUCCCCGCCCUGUCCCCGCCCUGUCCCCGCCGUGUCCCGUGUCCGACCCCUCCGGGAGGACCGUGCGGGACGUGCCCUCUGUGUGUCGGGAGCCCCCCCGGCCCCGGUGGCCCCUCGGGGGUUGCGGUGCCGCUCCCGCGGGGGCGAAGCUGCUCCGGCAGCGCUGCGGUUCAGAGGCCGCGCUCGGGUCGCGAUGUCCCAGCUGGAGGGACAGCGGGACCGCCGGUGACGCGUUUGUGUGACCCUUGGCCUGGCCUGCACCUUGUCCUGCCCUUGGAUCUGAAUCUGCUCAUGCCCCUUCGUUUAAAACUCAGUAUUAAGUCCCUGUCCUUCCCCUCUGCCUCCCUGCCCCAAGUUACUUUAAGCUCAUUUUACAAAGAAGGCACUGCAUGUUUUAGGUAAAAAAAACCACAAACCUUCAGCACAGAUUGCAAGAUGAGUUUUCUCCACUGUUCUGCAGCAGUUCCUGUUCUCCUGCCCAUUGCACUGGUAUAGCCUGUAAUGGAAAUUGGGAAUUCUGUCCUGAAAUAUCUCCUGGAAACAUCACUGCAGUUUUCUUUCCCCAUGCAGAAAGCUGGAGGGAAAGGCUUUUUUAGGGAUCCAGCUGACCAGUAUCUUCCAGAGGACCUGCUUGUAUUAAAAAAAAAACUUAAAAGGGGGUAAAAGUGGGAUAAAAGUGGGGCUGGAAGACAAUGCAAUAAUCAUGGCUCAGCAGAAAUGUGGAUACUGGUAGAUGGAGAGACACCUGCUCCUGUGCUGGGACACAGGUACCACACAGAUUGUGAUCUAGAGCUCUGUAUGUAUUUAAAUAUAGACUGGUUUGAAGAAUUCAGGCUUUUCUCUCUCUCUCUCAUGGUUAAAUGGAAGCCAAUAGUGUGUGUGCAGUGUGGGAAAUCUUUCAAACCUGAGCAAAACCUCCUCUGGUCAGGUAUGUGUAUGGUCACAGCUGGACUGCCACUGUCACUUAAUUCCUCUAUUAGGUUCUGUUAAAUAUGUUCUGUCUGGAGAAAAGAACUGCAAAAGUAGGUGAACAGAGAACAAGCUACAAUUUGGAGGGGAUAAAUAAUGCAGAACAAGUGUUUGGGUCAAGGCACAGGACAGGUUGGAAAAGCAAAUGGUUUACACAGUACUUUAAAUACCCACUGGUUUAUCCACAAAGUGGAUCUCCACCUCAGCCCUUUGGGAGCCAAAACGAUGGAUGAAGGGAUUGAGUAAAAAAAACGAAGAGAAUUUGAAGAGGCUCAAGAUUCAGCCUUUUCGUUCUAAUUUGUCCCGAGGCAGAGGAAGGUUCCCAGGUUGGCCUGGGGUGGCAGCGCAUUCCCAGCUCCGUUAAGUGACGCAUAACUCAGAGCUCCGUGGAAAGCCACAUGAGAACAUACCCACACCCAACUGGAGCUGAAAAGCAGCAACUUCUGAAGAGAAGGUCAGGAGGCACUGAGGAGCAAUGCCUGCCCCCCACUUCCCUCCCUUUCCCAGAGGUUCUGGAUGUAGCCCUUGCUUGCCUUUCCAAGUGAAAGCUGCUACCCACAGCGCUGAAUUACCGAAAACUGGAUGUUUAUUGUCCCCACGGGGUGCAGCUGAGUGAGCUGCUGUGGCUCCUCACAAGAGCUAAAAUGCCUGUUGAAUGAACCAUGAGCUGCCUCCACCUUUUUUUUUAAUUAUUAUUAUUUUUUAAUUUUUGAUUUUUUUUUUAAAGUCUAAUUGAAUGUGGGAGAGACAGGUUUGGAACUGCUUUUGGGUGAUGGCAGAGGAGCUUCUCUUAAGUAAUCUGGGGUGGUUCCAAAAGGCAUUCCAGUUCUCAGAAAAAUAGGCAUUACCAGUCAUUGCUUAUAUGCUGCGAGUUGAAAGAUUAAUAAUUUUCCCUGCCAAAGUUUACAGUCAGCCUUUACCAUGACAGUAGAUCAAAUACAUGUACUUGCCUGGGCAGCUGACCUGGUUUGAACUCAGCAAGUGUGGCUCUCAGUGAUGACUACAGUUUUGGAACAAAUUCUCUGCUACGCUUUUUAAAGCAACCUUACCCUUGUAAAGCAUUAACCAGCCUCUCAAGGCCAUUCCAGGCACCUCGUGCCCUCGGUGCCUUGGCAAAUUAUUUAGGCCCAGUAGGUGUAAGCAGCCAGAUGACAGGACUGGAUUGAGAUGAGUGAUAAGGGAGUAGCUGGCCUGUUUUGCAGUCAGACCUUCCCCUGAAUAAGGACAACUCCCAGCUGGUGCCAAUGGGAAAAACAACUUGAUCCUUCCAUUUAUUCCUGUGCACUCCAUUCCUCUUCCUUUCUCACUUUUGGCUCGCAUGCUGCAGGAAGACAGUUAGAAAUAGCUGUUCUUACAUGCUCAGACUGUUUGAUUUUGGAAUUUGGCAUUGGUUUUACUGGAGACAGGAGAGCACCCACGAGCACAGAAUAAAACAGCCCAUCCCCAGGCAGAGCUGCAGCAAAAGGGAGGAGUGAAAGGUGCAGGAGCUGAGCAUCCCCUCCUUAAUCAGAGUUUCUAUUGAAGUCAAUGACCCAGAUUUCUCUGACUUCAAAUGGCUGCUUUCAGAGAGCUUGCCUGAGGCAUGGUGCUGGGGAAGGUCAGGCAGAAUUUAGCCUGAAGUAUUCCGCAUGCAUGGGCUUAUCAGCUCUGGAUCUGGGCAGCCUGAUCCUGCAAACCCACGUUUUUCAACAGAGAUCUGGGAAAGUCACUGAAGUAACUUGUAUCCCUGGCUUCAGACUUGCAAAGCCACCCCAAACUUGGGGGUUCUUUCUGUCCUGUACUUCUGUGAUCAGUUCUGUGACAUCCACCUUGCUCCCAGGUUUCCCUUUAAAAAAAAAAAUGCAGAAAGCAUUUUAAUCCUGUGAAUUUACAUUAUUAAGAACACAGAAACAUGAUAAACCUCUCUUCUGUUUGGCAAGAAAGCCUGGCCUUCUGCAGAAGACUGGGAAAAUUCCUACAGACAGAAAUCAGGCUUCUAAACAUAAAGGCAUUGAAGUCAUGCUAUGUCUCUUUAUGAAAGAAUCGUAACAGCAGCAAGUGGUGCAGAAAUGCACCUUAUUAACUAUACACAGUUUAUCCUGCAGGUUUAGAUUCAUUAAAUCUUGUUGAUGAGACUGGGGGUUUCCCCCUCCCCAGUUUUUUAAUGUACUCCCCCUCUCAGUUCCAUGCAGCAGCUGAGCAGGUUCCUGUCACUGCUGCCAGUGCCCUUCCUGGGUACCCCCCAGCCAGGGGGUUCUGCUAAAUCACCACGUUUCUUAUGGCUCAUUUCAUUCUGUUCAAAUCUCUCAUCAAAAAUUUCACUUGGAAACUAGUUGCUAUCUCAGAUCAGAAUAUGCACAUGGAUAUGUUGAAUAUCAGCCUACCAGGCUCCCCAGGUUUUUGGAAACCUACUUAUGCAAAUACCAUAAUGCAACACACAGACUGAAUGCUGUCUUAAGAGACAAAUGCACCCUGGAUUCUGUGUGUGCAUCUCCCUACUUUAUCUGGUACAGAAAGUCUGAUUAGAUCUCUAAAGAUUACAGUUUAAAAGAGCUUGGAAAAACAGAGUAUUAGUAACUUGGAUUUUUUUUUAAUGUAUAUUCCAACACAGAAUCAGCUUUACUGGUGGCAUCCCAAAGCUGGAUUUCAGUGGCAUGGUUGGGUGUUUAUCAGAAGGAAAAAGGAGGUAUUUUCCCAUAAUCAUGUGUUGGCUUUGUCUCACCCAUGUCCAGGGCCGCCGUGUGCAGUGAUGUGGGAUGGAGCAGCUGCACAGUGGGGAUUGUGCUCCCAGGGACGGGCUCGGAGCCCUCCUGCCUCUCCCAGCUGGAGUCAGCGGCUCCACACAAUUCCUGGUGGCUCCUCUGGAAGACCAGGCUAAUUGCUCGUGUCUCCUGCGAGGACAGAUGUGCCCAGAAACGAAGUGCACUGACAGAAACCCGCAGUGUUUGCCAUCGCAAACAGCGCCCGGCCCUGCAAAGUUGUUUUUCUGCAUUAAAGAGAAAUGUUGGAGUUAAUUGAGGUGAAUGCAAUGAUAGCUGGCAGCUGUAUCAAACAACCCCUCCACACACACACAGGCACAAGGAAGCAGAGCAGCCCUGCUAUUGUUUGUUGCUUUAUUCUGCCUUUGACUUCUUUUUUUUUUUCCUUUUUUCAAUGCCAUGUUUUCUUUUAAAGUUAUCUGCUCUAAUCUGCAGCGAUAUGGGUUCAUAACUGACUGUAUUUGGACUAAGGAUAUUCUUGUGCCAUGUGUUUUCCUGGUCAGGCAUUUAGAGUACAAGCUGUAUUGAAAGUUACACUGAAAACAUCAGACAGAACUAGUGUAAUAUUAAGCCAGCUUUGUAUUACUUUUCAUUCCCAUUCAUUUUUAAAGCCUUAACAACCCCUUUAUUUAACUGUUUUGCAGAGUAAAUUGUUACUGAACGCUUACAAUUAGCAUUUUCAUAGCCCGUUUCAUGGGUUUGGUUUUUUUAAUUUGUUUGGGGUUUUAUAUGUAUUAUUUGUUUGUUUUAAACUGCCAAAGGGCAUAAACAUACUCCCAGUUUUCUGUAGCCACCUGACAGCAUGUAUGAAGAGGGAAAUAAAGAUGUUCUCCUCCUGUA